GAUGAACGCUGGCGGCGUGCCUAAUACAUGCAAGUCGAGCGAACAGACGAGGAGCUUGCUCCUCUGACGUUAGCGGCGGACGGGUGAGUAACACGUGGAUAACCUACCUAUAAGACUGGGAUAACUUCGGGAAACCGGAGCUAAUACCGGAUAAUCUAUUGAACCGCAUGGUUCAAUAGUGAAAGACGGUUUUGUUUUCACUUAUUGAUGGUUCCGCGCCGCCUUAUCUAGUUGGUAAGGUAGAGGCUUACCAAGGCAACGAUGCGUAGCCGACCUGAGAGGGUGAUCGGCCACACUGGAACUGGGACAGGGUCAAGACUCCUACGGGAGGCAGCAGUAGGGAAGCUUCCGCAAUGGGCGAAAGCCUGACGGAGCAACGCCGCGGGAGUGAUGAAGGUCUUCGGAUCGUAAAACUCUGUUAUUAGGGAAGAACAAAUGUGUAAGUAACUAUGCACGUCUUGACGGUACCUAAUCAGAAAGCCACGGCUAACUACGUG
rnacentral:rRNA from 1 species